GAUACAAUGUGGGGUGAUUUUACACAACAUCUUUUGAACCCAAUUCCAUGUCAUGUCAUGUCAGGUCCUGUGGCUUGCUUGUGCUGGUUUGCCUCGGAAAGCUCUGAACAUGAAACUUCAGAAUGGAGUUCAACAUGUUAACCAUUUCACCUCCACCAUGAGUCUAUUGUAAUGGAGCUCCCUUGUCCCGAGUCUGUCUUCGAAGUCUUGGAGAAAUGUUGAGUCGACGGCGUCGUCUUCGGUAUCUUUUACAAUUGGAUGCGAAAUGUGGCCUUGCCCCAGAAGGUGGUGGAAUGGUGCCGCCAGUUGUGGAGGUGUUGUUGCUGUUGCUGUUGCUGGCCGCGGGGAUCUCAUGCAUGAAGCCAAAGUGGACGAAACAUGAGAAACCGCAUUCGAUGACCUGGCUAAAAUUCCAUUGCCACCCUAGUGAUGCUUUGUCGAAGGUAAACAACUCGUACAUGGGGUGAAGUGGGGAAUAACAUUCUUCCUUGGAUUGGGGUGUUGCCAUUCUUGUCAACGGAAGAAUUGUUGUCAAUCCUGAAGUAUUGUGCCAACCAUUUCGAACAAGAAUGAUCGUAUUAUCACAAAAGUCACUCAAAGAAAUACCGUGAAUCAGCGUGAGCAGCGAAAGGGUGUGUUUGAUCACACAAGAGCACAAUAACGCACCCUGUAUGGCAGAAAAUGAUAAACUUGAGGGGUUUGGUGGGUGUUUCCGAUCACUUAUGUUUACAAUACCCAGUUCGAGGUCACUGAAAAGUAAAAUCUACCAGAAUACUCUCCCUGUGCCAUGUACCAGAGAUCAGCGUGUUGCUUUUAGUUUAACUGCAGUCAUCUUGCGCUUUUAUUUGCGUGUAUUUCGGUUUCGGUGUGUUAGGAAGGGUCGGCAAAGCGUGCCAACCCUAUAAGGUCACAAAAAUUUUGUCGGCCAUAUGUCUUGAUAGUCCAUACAGCUCAGGUCCGAAGACCUGCGUGGUAUAUAUAACCAACCGACCCUUUUUGACCGGUGAUGGGUUUGUGCGUACUUCAAAUAGUUUCGAUGGACCUUCAAGGCUUCCAGGAGAUAUGGGACAAUGAGAUAUUGGGGCUUAAGUUCUGAUCCAAAUCUGUGCAAUUGAGUGGGACCAAGGCAGUGGGUUUGGUUCGAUGUGAUGCUCGAUUGUGGAAUUGUAUUUAACUUAUGGGUGAAGAUGUAGGGGGCUUUUGUUUAGGUCUAAAAUUGUUGGCGUUUCGCAAUUGUGUUGUUCGUGGAGUGAGGUUACGAGAGGCGAUGGUGAUUCUGUGUCGUCGAUGCUUGUGUUCAGUCAUGGCGUGAGGUGCAUCAUGUUGUGUUCGAACGGGCGGUGAGAAUUAGAUUUUCGUGCACUUGGAGGUUGGCAACAUGCGAUGUAUGUGUGAAAACUGAGGGCAAUUUGGAUUCAUGAUUUCAGGGCUAGGGUUUAGAGUUUAGGGUUUAGGGUUGUGGAGUUGUGCUGUCCAGGAGCUUGAUUGAAGCGGGCGUUGGACAUGACCCGACUUCUUUGAUCAUCUUUUAAGGGCCGCGACGAGUAAUGGGUGGGAUUGAGAUGAGUGUCUGGGGCAGUCCAGAUUUGGAAGAAGGGAGAAUGCUGUCACAUUAGGCUUGUGCCGCACGUUUGAGCGCGCUGCCUACGUCACUUGAGCGUGAGCGAGCGCCGAGGAACAUAAGAUUGUAUGAUGGCUAAGACUCGAGGAUUGAACUCGAGCGGGCGAAUGCUAUCGAGGGCUUGCGAUUUCCGGCAAAGUUUCCCACACGUGGAUGUUGGGGUGUGCUUUCCCAACUAGGAACGUCUUAACAUCUUCUAUAACUCUCUGAUUUUCAUCGUCCUGACGCCCUAAAAGUCCAAGGCAUAGAAAAAACACAGCGAGGGUGUGUGGAACUCAAUCCUGCAGAUGUGGCUGACUUUGGAGGGGAAAUAAAUUUUUAGCGCUGCUUUAUGACAAGGGGCCUGCAAUUCCUCUCCUCCUUGACGAUGUGGUUUUGAGACCGAGCUAGGUGAAGAUGAGCGGCGAAUAAGAAAUAGGUCUCGUGCUUCGGGGGUCUGGGCAAGGAACUUAUGACUGGAGAAAGAGCCUAGUUCUUAUCGGAAACAACCGUGUUCGAUGGUGUUCGCGCACCCGAUUAUGUCAUUUCCACCUGUCAAAGAGGUCUGUUUACAAAAGUAUAUCCUCAAGCUCAAGCCAUUGACGAUGUUCCCUCGAAAUCUGGACGAAGAAAGAGAUUGUUGUUUUGAAGAACCCCGAUCUUCGUGAAGUUUGAUUGACCGUUGAUAAAUCUCCUCUCCAGUGACUGGAAUGUAACAAUUGAAGCACUUUAAGAAAGAUAGGUUGAAUCCUGGAAACUUUUACACAAGCUUGCUGUGUUUUUAAAGCCUGGCUUCGGGGUUCAAUUGUAGCUGUUUACCAAUUUACGCCAUAAAGUGCACGUGGAGCUUUCUAGGUCACGAGUCCGGUUAUUUACAUGCAACUGGAUUCCUCGAUUACAACUCUGAAGUGACAGCGCUGAUACUGUCGGGACGCACCAUUGCCAGUCAGUUCAUUCCAAGUAUAUUCCCUUUUAGCGGAAUGCCUCACUUGUGGCUUUCGUGCUUCUUGUUGGUAUUGGUUAAUGAAUCUUAAGCCAAUGAAGCGUUAACGAAGUUCUAUCAUUCAAUAUCUACAACUUUGUUUCGCUAAUUUAA